GGAUGUGGCUCAGUGGUAGAGCGUUUGCUUAGCAAGUGUGAGGCCCUGGGUUCGAUCCUCAACACCA
rnacentral:tRNA from 1 species